rnacentral:rRNA from 1 species
CCUGGGAACUGCGUUNUGAACUGGGUGACUAGAGUGUGUCAGAGGGAGGUAGAAUUCCACGUGUAGCAGUGAAAUGCGUAGAGAUGUGGAGGAAUACCGAUGGCGAAGGCAGCNUCCUGGGAUAACACUGACGUUCAUGCCCGAAAGCGUGGGUAGCAAACAGGAUUAGAUACCCUGGUAGUCCACGCCCUAAACGAUGUCGAUUAGCUGUUGGGCAGCAUGACUGCUUAGUAGCGAAGCUAACGCGUGAAAUCGACCGCCUGGGGAGUACGGUCGCAAGAUUAAAACUCAAAGGAAUUGACGGGGACCCGCACAAGCGGUGGAUGAUGUGGAUUAAUUCGAUGCAACGCGAAGAACCUUACCUGGUCUUGACAUGUGCGGAACCCUCCAGAGACGGAGGGGUGCCUUCGGGAGCCGUAACACAGGUGCUGCAUGGCUGUCGUCAGCUCGUGUCGUGAGAUGUUGGGUUAAGUCCCGCAACGAGCGCAACCCUUGUCAUUAGUUGCCAUCAUUAAGUUGGGCACUCUAAUGAGACUGCCGGUGACAAGCCGGAGGAAGGUGGGGAUGGCGUCAAGUCCUCAUGGCCCUUAUGACCAGGGCUUCACACGUCAUACAAUGGUCGGUACAGAGGGUAGCCAAGCCGCGAGGUGGAGCCAAUCUCACAAAACCGAUCGUAGUCCGGAUUGCACUCUGCAACACGA